rnacentral:rRNA from 1 species
UACGAAGGGGGCUAGCGUUGCUCGGAAUCACUGGGCGUAAAGGGUGCGUAGGCGGGUCUUUAAGUCAGGGGUGAAAUCCUGGAGCUCAACUCCAGAACUGCCUUUGAUACUGGCGAUCUUGAGUCCGGGAGAGGUGAGUGGAACUGCGAGUGUAGAGGUGAAAUUCGUAGAUAUUCGGAAGAACACCAGUGGCGAAGGCGGCUCACUGGCCCGAUACUGACGCUGAGGCACGAAAGCGUGGGGAGCAAACAGG